AGUUUGAUCCUGGCUCAGAAUCAACGCUGGCGGCGUGCCUCAGACAUGCAAGUCGAACGAUUAAGACUCUCUUCGGAGAGUGUAUAAAGUGGCGCACGGGUGAGUAACACGUAGGUAAUGUACCGAAGGGUGGGGAAUAACUUAGGGAAACUUAAGCUAAUACCGCAUAAUGCAGCGGCUCGACAUCGAGACAGUUGUUAAAGGAGCAAUCCGCCUUUUGAGCAGCCUGCGGCAGAUUAGCUAGUUGGUAAGGUAAUGGCUUACCAAGGCUACGAUCUGUAACCGACCUGAGAGGGUGGUCGGUCACACUGACACUGAAUAACGGGUCAGACUCCUACGGGAGGCAGCAGUCGGGAAUUUUGGGCAAUGGGCGAAAGCCUGACCCAGCAACGCCGCGUGAAGGAUGAAGUAUUUCGGUAUGUAAACUUCGUAAGAAUAGGAAGAAUAAAUGACGGUACUAUUUGUAAGGUCCGGCUAACUACGUG
rnacentral:rRNA from 1 species